UACCUCAAAAUUCCGCAACAGUCUGUUUCAUCAGUAAAGAAUCAUCAGGUGGUACGAUGAUUUUUUACUGAUGAAACAGACUGUUGCGGAAUUU